AUUUCUUUAGUAUACUAGUAUAGAUGACCUCCACUCAUCAGGCCUUAGACACACACUAAGAAGAAAUA
rnacentral:tRNA from 1 species